AGGACUAACGCUGGCGGCGUGCCUAACACAUGCAAGUCGAACGGGGUAGCAAUACCCAGUGGCAGACGGGUGAGUAACACGUGGUCAACCUACCUCUAUGUGGGGGAUAACUAGCCGAAAGGUUAGCUAAUACCGCAUACGUCUCCGAGGGGCAUCCCUUGGUGAUAAAAGGAGCAAUCCGCUCGAUGACGGGACCGCGUCCCAUUAGUUAGUUGGCGGGGUAAUGGCCCACCAAGACUAUGAUCGGUA
rnacentral:rRNA from 1 species